ACAUGCUAGGCAAGUGCUCUACCACUGAACUAUAAUCCCAGCCCAGAUCAAUCUUUCUUUCUUUGUCUUUUUUGUGCUGGGAAUAGAACACCUAGGGGCACUUUACCACGAGCUACAUCCCCAAUUCUUUAAAAUUUUGUUUUUCUUUGCUUUGAAACAGGAUCUUGCUAAGUUGAAGAGGUUGGCCUUGACUUCAUGAUCCUCCAGCCUCCCAAUCCCACCCUAAGGAUUAUAGGCUUGUGUCACUAUGUCUGAUUUAGAUCAGUUCUUUCACAUUAGAGGCUGCCUUUCCCCCCACAUCUCAGCUUUUUCUUUUACCUUCUCUAUUUUUAUUUUCUUUCUUCCUUCCUCUCUCU
rnacentral:lncRNA from 1 species